rnacentral:rRNA from 1 species
GAUGAACGCUAGCUACAUGCUUAACACAUGCAAGUCGAGGGACCGGCGCACGGGUGAGUAACACGUAUCCAACCUGCCCUUUACUCGGGGAUAGCCUUUCGAAAGAAAGAUUAAUACCCGAUGUAAAGGAUGGGGAUGCGUUGCAUUAGGUUGUUGGUGAGGUAACGGCUCACCAAGCCUUCGAUGGAUAGGGGUUCUGGGAGGAAGGUCCACCGCAUUGGAACGGAGACACGGUCCAAACUCCUACGGGAGGCAAGAGUGAGGAAUAUUGGUAAAUGGGCGUUAGCCUGACCCAGCCAAGUAGCGUGAAGGAUGAAGGCUUAUGGGUCGUAAACUUCUUGUAUAUAAGAAUAGGUAUUAUAUGAAUAAGGAUCGGCUAACUCCGUGCCAGCAGCCGCGGUAAUUC